rnacentral:rRNA from 1 species
AUUGAACGCUGGCGGCAGGCCUAACACAUGCAAGUCGAACGAGUGGCGGACGGGUGAGUAAUGUCUGGGAAACUGCCUGAUGGAGGGGGAUAACUACUGGAAACGGUAGCUAAUACCGCAUACCAUCAGAUGUGCCCAGAUGGGCUUAGCUGGUUGGUGGGGUAACGGCUGACCAAGGCGACGAUCCCUAGCUGGUCUGAGAGGAUGACCGGCCACACUGGAACUGAGACACGGUCCAAACUCCUACGGGAGGAAGCAGUGGGGAAUGUUGCGCGAUGGGCGCAAGCCUGAUGGAGCCAUGCCGCGUGUAUGAAGAAGGCCUUCGGGUUGUAAGGUACUUUCAGCGGGGAGGCGUUACCCGCAGAAGAAGCGCCGGCUAACUCCGUGCCAGCCGCCGCGGUAAUUC